ACCUCGCGCCACCGCUCAAGAGUUUGAUCCUGGCUCAGAACGAACGCUGGCGGCAGGCUUAACACAUGCAAGUCGAGCGCGUGGCAACACGAGCGGCAGACGGGUGAGUAACACGUGGGAACGUACCCUUUUCUACGGAAUAACGCAGGGAAACUUGUGCUAAUACCGUAUACGCCCUUUUGGGGAAAGAUUUAUCGGAGAAGGAUCGGCCCGCCUUGGAUUAGCUAGUUGGUGGGGUAAAGGCCUACCAAGGCGACGAUCCAUAGCUGGUCUGAGAGGAUGAUCAGCCACAUUGGGACUGAGACACGGCCCAAACUCCUACGGGAGGCAGCAGUGGGGAAUAUUGGACAAUGGGCGCAAGCCUGAUCCAGCCAUGCCGCGUGAGUGAUGAAGGCCUUAGGGUUGUAAAGCUCUUCACCGGAGAAGAUAAUGACGUAUCCGAGAGAGUCCUACC
rnacentral:rRNA from 1 species